GCACUGCUGAGGAGUCCUAAAAUAGGACGAAACGGUCGUCCAGUGC
rnacentral:hammerhead_ribozyme from 1 species